UACGGAGGGGGCGAGCGUUAUUCGGAAUUAUUGGGCGUAAAGGGCGCGUAGGCGGCUGUACAAGUCAAAGGUGAAAUCCCUCGGCUCAACUGAGGAACUGCCUUUGAAACUGUACGGCUUGAGGCCGGGAGGGGGUAGCGGAAUUCCCAGUGUAGCGGUGAAAUGCGUAGAUACUGGGAGGAACACCAGUGGCGAAGGCGGCUACCUGGACCGGUUCUGACACUGAGGAGCGAAAGCGUGGGGAGCGAUCCGG
rnacentral:rRNA from 1 species